rfam:Myotis brandtii contig165917, whole genome shotgun sequence.
AUCGCUUCUCGGCCUUUUGGCUAAGAUCAAGUGUAGUAUCUGUUCUUAUCAGUUUAAUAUAGUAGUAGAUCAAACACACUUUUUUAUUUACCAAAGAAAUAACAAGGUAUAUCACUUCUAUCACUGGGCUCAAAUAACUUCCAAAAAGCUCAUUGAACACCAA